rnacentral:rRNA from 1 species
UACGAAGGGGGCUAGCGUUGUUCGGAAUUACUGGGCGUAAAGCGCGUGUAGGCGGGUCUUUUAAGUCAGAGGUGAAAUGCCAAGGCUCAACCUUGGAACUGCCUUUGAUACUGGAGAUCUUGAGUCCGGGAGAGGUGAGUGGAAUUGCGAGUGUAGAGGUGAAAUUCGUAGAUAUUCGCAAGAACACCAGUGGCGAAGGCGGCUCACUGGCCCGGAACUGACGCUGAGACGCGAAAGCGUGGGGAGCAAACAGG